rnacentral:rRNA from 1 species
AAUGAACGUUGGCGGCGUGGAUUAGGCAUGCAAGUCGAGCGAGAACCCAGCAAUGGGGGACAGCGGCGCAAGGGACAGUAAUGUGUAGAUUAUCUGCCCUCGGGUCCGGGAUAGCUGCGGGAAACUGCAGGUAAUACCGGAUAACAUCUCCGGAUCAAAGGUGUGAUUCCGCCCGAGGAUGAGUCUGCAUCCUAUUAGCUAGUUGGCAGGGUAAUGGCCUACCAAGGCGAUGAUGGGUAGCGGGUGUGAGAGCACGACCCGCGUCAUUGGGACUGAGACACUGCCCAGACACCUACGGGUGGCUGCAGUCGAGAAUCUUCGGCAAUGGGCGCAAGCCUGACCGAGCGACGCCGCGUGUGGGAUGAAGGCCUUCGGGUUGUAAACCACUGUCAGAGGGGAUGAAAUGCAGGUGGGUUCUCCCAUCCGUUUGACAUAGCCUCAGAGGAAGGACGGGCUAAGUUCGUGCCAGCCGCCGCAGUAAUAC